CAGUAGAUAUCUCAUCCAUAAACAAUGCCUUUGCAGGUCCAACCAGCAUUUCACCUGUUGUAACACGCUUCCUUUGUCCUCCAGAGAUGCCCCUUAUCAUUUCAUUCCCUACAAGAGUAUCUGCGCAGAUAUCCAAUCCUAAUAUCUUCAAAACAUAAUCUGUGACGACACUGGUCUCCUGACCUUCUGUUGCUGCUGCCUUCAUGAAGACAUCAAGAUCGGGGUCAGGCUUAAUAUUUGCUGCCUUUUCUCUUCUCGACAAUUCUGCCAACAUUUCAUGUUGGGUUCCAACUCCUUGGCAUCUGGCUGAAAAUGCCAAAGUUUCUCUUACAGUCAUUUCUCCAAUAUGGAGAUCAUGUUGACUGAUAUAGGCAGCUGUUCUCUGGGGUAUGAACUCAUUCAAUGUAUGAGCAUUGUAUGUCACAUUACCAGAAACCUUCAGAUUAGGAUCAAGCUUCCCAGCCAGUGCCAACAAGAGAGUGGUCUUCCCAGAGCUUGGAGGACCCAGAAGCAAAGUCAUUCUUGAUGGCUUGAUGACUCCACUAACAUCCUUAAGGAUGGUCAGUGGUCUCUUUCUAUUUGGAAGGACAUGAAGACAAUUCAAGAAAACCUCUGCAAUGCUCAUCGUGAAGUUAAGGAAUGAAGGCAAAGCAUUACUUCCCACUAAAGCUUCUGCUUCAAUAUUUAGAUGCUCAUACCGGACUUCAAUAGUUGGAAUUUCAAUUCCAACCCUGUCAAUACGGUUCUUAAGCUUUAACAAGAACUUCUCAUUAUCCUCUUCAGCAACUUUGACCAACCUCUCUAACAAAGUUUUCCUUUCUUGAAAUCCAAGAUUGUCUACAUCGAUCUCAUUAGCUCCACCUUUGGAUACACUAACCAAGAUGCCUUUCCUCAGACGAUCAUAGGUAGGUAGCUUCUCAAGCGCAGCCCAUUUUAGAGCCUCUUCAUCGUCUUCAUCUCGUGAAGAUCUUGAAAAAACAUCCAACCCAUUGUUUCUAAAUACAGAAGAGCUCCCUCUUCGCAAACUAGUACUUGCUCUGUAAUGAUCACCCUCCAUUGGAAGAGGUUUAGAACUUCAGAACCAAAAACAACUAAAACCCACCAGCACAAACAGGAAUUAUUACUCUGUUUACGUUCUUGAUUUCAGAAAAAGAAUUAAAGAAAUCCCAAAUUUAAGUUCUUGAGCUUAAAGCACACACAAAAAUGUGAAUUGGGUUUCUCUGUCUGCAAGAACGAGUUGAAGAGGAAGAGCCUUUUAUAGGGAAAGGACCGUACGACUGGCGGCCGAAGAACAUUCAAACUCUUCUUUUUUUU
rnacentral:misc_RNA from 1 species